GCGCCCGUAGCUCAGCUGGAUAGAGCGUCGCCCUCCGGAGGCGAAGGCCGGAGGUUCGAAUCCUCUCGGGCGUACCA
rnacentral:tRNA from 3 species